CACGUAGGCACCAAGCGUUGUCCGGAUUUAUUGGGCGUAAAGAGCUCGUAGGCGGUUCAGUAAGUCGGGUGUGAAAACUCUGGGCUUAACCCAGAGACGCCACCCGGUACUGCUGUGACUUGAGUACGGUAGGGGAGCAGGGAAUUCCUGGUGUAGCGGUGAAAUGCGCAGAUAUCAGGAGGAACACCGGUGGCGAAGGCGCUGCUCUGGGCCGAAACUGACGCUGAGGAGCGAAAGCGUGGGUAGCAAACAGG
rnacentral:rRNA from 1 species